rnacentral:rRNA from 1 species
UGGCCAUGUUGGUUAACAGAUCCUCAUUUGCUGGAUAAUUGGCGAUGAUCUUUAUCGGUUGUCGUCAGUUGCCAGAACGUUUACUUUGAGAAAAUUAGAGUGCUAAAAGCAGGCUCACGCCUAUAUAUAUUGCAUGGAAUAAUGAAAUAAGAUCUCGAUUUUAUUUCGUUGGUUUUAGAAAUUGAGAUAAUGAUUAAUAGGAUCAGAGGGGGGCGUACGUACUGUGGUGUGAGAGGUGAAAUUCUUGGAUCGCCACAGGACGAACAGCAGCGAAGGCGUUCGCCAAGAAUGUUUUCAUUAAUCAAGAACGAAAGUUUGAGGUUCGAAGACGAUUAGAUACCGUCCUAGUUCAAACCAUAAACGUUGCCAACUGUCUUUUAGAUGCGGUUAUUUAUAUGACUCAUCUGGCGGAUCUCGAGAAAUCUAAGUUUUUAGGUUCCGGGGGAAGUAUGGUUGCAAAGCUGAAACUUAAAAGAAUUGACGGAAGGACACACAAGAAGUGGAGCCUGUGGCCUAAUUUGACUCAACACGGGAAACCUUACUCGGCCAGGACACUUUUAGGAUUGACAGAUUGAGAGCUCUUUCUUGAUUAGGUGGGUGGUGGUGCAUGGUCGUUCGUAGUUCGUGGAGCGAUUUGUCUGAUUAAUUUCGAUAACGAACGAGACUCCGGCUUACUAAAUAGUCUAAAGUUCGAAGGGACUUUUCAAGACUUCUUAGCAGGAUAAAUGCG